UACGUAGGGGGCAAGCGUUGUCCGGAAUCAUUGGGCGUAAAGAGCGUGUAGGCGGUCCGGUAAGUCGGCUGUGAAAGUCCAGGGCUCAACCCUGGGAUGCCGGUCGAUACUGCCGGACUAGAGUUCGGAAGAGGCGAGUGGAAUUCCCGGUGUAGCGGUGAAAUGCGCAGAUAUCGGGAGGAACACUUAUGGCGAAGGCAGCUCGCUGGGACGUUACUGACGCUGAGACGCGAAAGCGUGGGGAGCAAACAGG
rnacentral:rRNA from 1 species